AAGAAGGUGCGGGAUAAGAAUAGGACGGCAACGGUGGUGGUUCAAGGUGGUUGAUCUGGUGGUGUGCAUGUGACUUCCAGAUCGCGUCAAGUUGACUCCGCUUAUGUAGUUUCGUGUUUGUUCCGUUAUUUUUACUUGGCUUGCACGGGCUUUGUUAGGUUGGGGGUAAUGAUGUGUCUAUGGGUGGUGAUGAGCGGUGUUUACGGUGGUGACCGACGGGGUGGUGGCACUUGAAGAGUGGUAGUUAGGUGUUCGUGUAUAGGAUGUGUUCAGCCGCUGAAAUCAAAAUACAAGAGAGAGAGGGAGAUUAAAUGAGGAGGAUGACGACGGGGAUGGUUCUUGGCUCAAUUGAUCUUCUAAAUCCCACCACAAGGUAACCUCUCGUUCCAAUUAUAGUGCUUCAUGUUCGUUUUACAUGAGAUUUGUAGGGGUUUUUCUUUGGUUCUGUUAGUGAUGGUAGAACGUGGAGGUGCACUGUGGCGUUUGGUGGUGGAGAAAGUGCGGGUGGUGGUGAGCGGCAGAAUGGUGUAGGGUGGUGGAGUGCCGAUGGAGAUGACAAUUGUAGUUGUGGUUGCGGUGAUGUAGGAUGGUAUGCGAUGGUGAUAAAUUAUGUCAAGGUUUGAACUAAAAUGGUGAUGGCGGUUGUGUACGGUGUCGGUGGCCGAUGAGGAUGAUAACCGCUGUAAUGGUGCGGUUCAUGAUGACGAUGCGGCAAAGGUGCGUGAUGGCGUGUAGUUUCGUAGCGAAAAUAUUCGACUACGGGUAGAUGACAAUGCUGUCGGGUACCGUAUUGGUAACGAUGGGGGUUGAUAUUCGAUUAAGAUUGUGGUGGAGACAGAGGUGGUGCAUGGCGGUUUCGGGUGAGCCACGACGGUGCGACGCGUGACUGUGAGGGCUAUCAUGGUGGUACAAAGUAGGUGAUGAACCAGAUUUCCAUGGGGUUUCUGCUAGAGUGGCGUAGAGGAAUGUUAGGUUAAUAAUGGAGUAUGAAGAGUUGAGUAGGUGUGUGUGGUACGUACAAAAAAAGGAUGGAGAAAAUGGUGAUGGUGUAUGCAUGGUGAUUCACAUAAACACAUUUUAGGUGGCGAGGUUGCAUGGGGAUUGGGCUAUUAGGAGGUCACGUUUUGGUGUUAGUGAUUAAUGCAUGGUGAUGAUAUUGGUGUCAUAAGGGAACUUUGGCAGUAGUGGUUUUAUACCAUCAUAAUUUAAUGUUGUGGUGAGGAUUACACUACAAGAAAUAUAGAUUAAUACCGGCGACAACUUUAGGGGCGCCUUCAAAAUUGUCGCCAGUAAAACCCUAUCCGUGUCCAACUUUUUAGAAUUACUCCCUGACCAUUGAUUUGAAAGCAAUCCGACGGUCCAGCUUUUAUCAUCCCUUAAAGUGAAUAAAACCCUUGGCGGGCAGCCAUUCUCCCAUUUCCCCCCCAAAUCGUUCCGCCUGCCUCCCCCAAACCCCACGAAGCCACCACCACUAGAACAAUCUGCAGUUAACCAGCCACCACCACCCUCCGGAUACAGCUCGCCAACACCAGAACCUGCACUCACCUCCUCGGUGCUCCACAGCCGCUGCUGCACCUACAGGUGUGGAUUGUGUGCAAUUGUAGGUAUACGGUGGUUGGCUUGAGGUAUCACCGUCAAAUAUUUGGUGGAGGCUGAAGUGGCAGUCGAGUGAGAGGAGGGAUUACGUCGCUUAACCUGGUUACAUGGCUUGACACUUGAGCUUUAAUGGUUGACAUGGAUCUGCUAUCUCAGAUAGUAGAACCUAAGUUAAUUGGAUUAAAGUUUGCAGCCAACGUGGGGGAGUGAUGGUGAGAUCCGCCGUUUAUGAAAGUGGGUUUGUUCCGAAUUUAUCAAAUGCGAGAGGAUUUGGUGAUUUGCUAGGAAGUCAAAUGCGAGACAUAUGAAAAGAUCUUUCCUUUCAAGAACAUUUGUGCUAGCAGAAAGGUAAUCUAUAUCAGGGUACACUCAACGGAAGAUGGGGCAUGGCUGGGUCUGAAUGAAGAGAGGCCAGAAACUACCAUCUUCCGACAAGUUAAGCCGCGGCAGGUGCUUUUCGAUACAUAACAGUUAUAGGUUUCGCUUGAGGACACGGUUCGAGACGAUUAGCUUGUGGAUAUGGAAGCUUUGCAACCUGUCAAAAAGAGGAAGUCCCCUAACAGUUUAUCUGUCCUUGGGGCAAGAGGAAGUCCCCUAGCAGUUUAUUUGCCCUUGGGGAAAGAGGAGAAGAAAAAUUCCUUUAUCCCCUACUUUGUGUUUAGGAUUUAAGAUUGAUUUCAGGUUAAAUGGAUGAACGAUGACCUCUUGGAUGUUGCAUGAAGCUACUCGGCAUUGAAGUUGGCAUUUCUAGUUGAAGACGAUGUUUUAAAUAAAUAAAUUUCAAACAUUUAAAUUGUGUAUUUUAGUUUGGAUAUUUUCCAUGAUUGGGAAUUUAACUUAAAAGUUUUCCGCUGCG